UAGAUUGAAGCCAGUAAGUAGGGUAUUUAGCUGUUAACUAAAUUUUCGUAGGUUUAAAUCCUUCCAAUCUAG
rnacentral:tRNA from 2 species